rnacentral:rRNA from 1 species
UACGUAGGGUGCAAGCGUUAAUCGGAAUUACUGGGCGUAAAGCGUGCGCAGGCGGUUAUGUAAGACAGGUGUGAAAUCCCCGGGCUUAACCCUGGGAACUGCAUUUGUGACUGCAUAGCUAGAGUACGGUAGAGGGGGGAUGGAAUUCCGCGUGUAGCAGUGAAAUGCGUAGAUAUGCGGAGGAACACCGAUGGCGAAGGCAAUCCCCUGGACCUGUACUGACGCUCAUGCAC